rnacentral:rRNA from 1 species
UACGUAGGGCGCGAGCGUUAUCCGGAAUUAUUGGGCGUAAAGAGCUCGUAGGCGGUUUGUCACGUCUGCUGUGAAAACUGGAGGCUCAACCUCCAGCCUGCAGUGGGUACGGGCAGACUAGAGUGCGGUAGGGGAGAGUGGAAUUCCUGGUGUAGCGGUGGAAUGCGCAGAUAUCAGGAGGAACACCGAUGGCGAAGGCAGAUCUCUGGGCCGUAACUGACGCUGAGGAGCGAAAGCAUGGGGAGCGAACAGG